AGCGAACGCUGGCGGCAGGCCUAACACAUGCAAGUCGAACGAACUCUUCGGAGUUAGUGGCGAACGGGUGAGUAACACGUGGGAACGUGCCUUUUGGUUCGGAAUAACUCAGGGAAACUUGUGCUAAUACCGAAUGUGCCCUUCGGGGGAAAGAUUUAUCGCCAUUAGAGCGGCCCGCGUCUGAUUAGCUAGUUGGUGAGGUAACGGCUCACCAAGGCGACGAUCAGUAGCUGGUCUGAGAGGAUGACCAGCCACACUGGGACUGAGACACGGCCCAGACUCCUACGGGAGGCAGCAGUGGGGAAUCUUGCGCAAUGGGCGAAAGCCUGACGCAGCCAUGCCGCGUGAAUGAUGAAGGUCUUAGGAUUGUAAAAUUCUUUCACCGGGGACGAUAAUGACGGUACCGGGAGAAGAAGCCCCGGCUAACUUCGUG
rnacentral:rRNA from 1 species